GCUAUUGGGUGCACAGGUGAGGCUGAUUGGACAAAUGUGGGGCUGAGAGACAGUUUUAAAGCACUUCUAACACAACACUUGAGCCUUAGUUGUUUGUUUAUAGCUCUGUAUGCUGUUUGUCACCUUGGAUGUGCAUGGAAAGAAGAUCUUCUUGAAAAAAAGCUAUUUUUGGAGAAACUUAAGUUGGAAGUGUGUUUUGAAACCUGGGACAUCUUGCAGGGUGGAGUCGCCAUCGCCGCUGUCCAACUCCACGUCGCCGUCGAAGACGUUGGAGACCGCUCGGCCCACCAGCAGCAGGUUGACCAGCUCCUGGUAAACGACACCAGGACAAAAAGAUUAUAGAGUCAUACCUGAAAGUCGGAGGGCUGCGGUGACCGCCAGUGUCUCUGAUGGAAGUCAUGGAGGAGCCAAGAAAGUCAGAGCUGCCUUUUUGACAGCUGCUGCAGGAGGACGCAAACUUCGCUCAA